rnacentral:snRNA from 1 species
AUCCUUAUGCAAGGGAAAUACGCAUAUCAGUGAGGAUUCGUCCGAGAUUGUGUUUUUGCUGGUUGAAAUUUAAUUAAACCAGACCUGCUCCUCAUUGUCGCCAGUUAGAUGUUCGCUUCAUGAACAUCUCAGAUAAUGUAGGGAAUUUUUGGAAUACUUUUAU